AUUGAACGCUGGCGGAAUGCUUUACACAUGCAAGUCGAACGGCAGCACGGACUUCGGUCUGGUGGCGAGUGGCGAACGGGUGAGUAAUGUAUCGGAACGUGCCCAGUCGUGGGGGAUAACGUAGUGAAAAUUACGCUAAUACCGCAUACGAUCUACGGAUGAAAGCGGGGGAUCGCAAGACCUCGCGCGAUUGGAGCGGCCGAUAUCAGAUCAGGUAGUUGGUGGGGUAAAGGCCCACCAAGCCAACGAUCUGUAGCUGGUCUGAGAGGACGACCAGCCACACUGGAGCUGAGACACGGUCCAGACUCCUACGGGAGGCAGCAGUGGGGAAUUUUGGACAAUGGGCGAAAGCCUGAUCCAGCCAUUCCGCGUGCAGGAUGAAGGCCCUCGGGUUGUAAACUGCUUUUGUACAGAACGAAAAGGUUUCUACUAAUACUAGGAGCUCAUGACGGUACUGUAAGAAUAAGCACCGGCUAACUACGUGCCAGCAGCCGCAGUAA
rnacentral:rRNA from 1 species